rnacentral:rRNA from 1 species
CUUAACACAUGCAAGUCGAACGGAAAGGCCCUGCUUUUGUGGGGUGCUCGAGUGGCGAACGGGUGAGUAACACGUGAGUAACCUGCCCUUGACUUUGGGAUAACUUCAGGAAACUGGGGCUAAUACCGGAUAGGAGCUCCUGCUGCAUGGUGGGGGUUGGAAAGUUUCGGCGGUUGGGGAUGGACUCGCGGCUUAUCAGCUUGUUGGUGGGGUAGUGGCUUACCAAGGCUUUGACGGGUAGCCGGCCUGAGAGGGUGACCGGCCACAUUGGGACUGAGAUACGGCCCAGACUCCUACGGGAGGCAGCAGUGGGGAAUAUUGCACAAUGGGCGGAAGCCUGAUGCAGCAACGCCGCGUGCGGGAUGACGGCCUUCGGGUUGUAAACCGCUUUCGCCUGUGACGAAGCGUGAGUGACGGUAAUGGGUAAAGAAGCACCGGCUAACUACGUGCCAGCAGCCGCGGUGAUACGUAGGGUGCGAGCGUUGUCCGGAUUUAUUGGGCGUAAAGGGCUCGUAGGUGGUUGAUCGCGUCGGAAGUGUAAUCUUGGGGCUUAACCCUGAGCGUGCUUUCGAUACGGGUUGACUUGAGGAAGGUAGGGGAGAAUGGAAUUCCUGGUGGAGCGGUGGAAUGCGCAGAUAUCAGGAGGAACACCAGUGGCGAAGGCGGUUCUCUGGGCCUUUCCUGACGCUGAGGAGCGAAAGCGUGGGGAGCGAACAGGCUUAGAUACCCUGGUAGUCCACGCUGUAAACGGUGGGUACUAGGUGUGGGGUACAUUCCACGGGUUCCGUGCCGUAGCUAACGCUUUAAGUACCCCGCCUGGGGAGUACGGCCGCAAGGCUAAAACUCAAAGGAAUUGACGGGGCCCCGCACAAGCGGCGGAGCAUGCGGAUUAAUUCGAUGCAACGCGUAGAACCUUACCUGGGUUUGACAUGGAUCGGGAGUGCUCAGAGAUGGGUGUGCCUCUUUUGGGGUCGGUUCACAGGUGGUGCAUGGCUGUCGUCAGCUCGUGUCGUGAGAUGUUGGGUUAAGUCCCGCAACGAGCGCAACCCUUGUUCACUGUUGCCAGCACGUUAUGGUGGGGACUCAGUGGAGACCGCCGGGGUCAACUCGGAGGAAGGUGGGGAUGACGUCAAGUCAUCAUGCCCCUUAUGUCCAGGGCUUCACGCAUGCUACAAUGGCUGGUACAGAGAGUGGCGAGCCUGUGAGGGUGAGCGAAUCUCGGAAAGCCGGUCUCAGUUCGGAUUGGGGUCUGCAACUCGACCUCAUGAAGUCGGAGUCGCUAGUAAUCGCAGAUCAGCAACGCUGCGGUGAAUACGUUCCCGGGGCUUGUACACACCGCCCGUCAAGUCAUGAAAGUUGGUAACACCCGAAGCCGGUGGCCUAACCGUUGAGGGGAGCCGUCGAAGGUGGGACUGGUGAUUAGG